GAUGAACGCUGGCGGCGUGCCUAAUACAUGCAAGUCGAACGGUCCGCAAGGAUAGUGGCGAACGGGUGUGAAACGCGUUGGUGACCUGCCCUGAAGAAGGGGAUACCGGAUCGAAAGGUCCGCUAAUACCGCAUACGCUCUGUCUAGUUAGAGAGGACAGAGGAAAGCCGAAAGGCGCUUUAGGAGGGACCUGCGUCCCAUCAGCUAGUUGGUAAGGUAGUGGCUUACCAAGGCGAUGACGGGUAGGGGACCUGAGAGGGUGACCCCCCACAAUGGAACUGAAACACGGCCCAUACACCUACGGGUGGCAGCAGUAGGGAAUAUUGGUUAAUGGGCGAAAGCCUGACCCAGCAACGCCGCGUGAACGAUGAAGGCCUUCGGGUUGUAAAGUUCUUUUGACAGGGAUGAGGAAGGACAGUACCUGUCGAAUAAGUCUCGGCUAACUACGUGCCAGCCGCCGCAGUAAGAC
rnacentral:rRNA from 1 species